UCUUUCCUUCCCUUCCUUUUGCCUGGGAAUUCUAUCCUCUGCUGCUGGUUUCCUCAGAAAUAUUCCUACUCUUUAAGCACUAAAGGGACAGCUUUUUAGCAACUGGGAGCACUCAUACCAAGUACUGARCCUCUGCAGGGAUGUGCUGAGGUCUCUAAAUAAAUAGAUGUGAUCUGUACAUAUAGCUCGUGGUAUUAAUACUACUGGUAUUAAGGUGCUUUGACCACCCCUCUCUAUGACGAGAGACUCACCCAGUGAGGUCCCAUCCACACCAUCUUGCUGUAACAGAAGAAAAAUAAGAAGGAAAAAUAAAAGUUUCUUUAUUAGAACACAGCAAAAAGACUUGCCUUCAUAAAGACCCUUCACACCUUUAAAGUAGGCCCUGGGGAGGAACAAUGCCCAUCUACUGAGACUUCAGAGUAAUUCAAGUUGUUUUUGUUCUUGAAACAUUGAAGUGAAUGAUGAAAAUGAGGAAACGAGUGCUGGCAAGAGGUUAGCAAGAGGCAAAUGGGCCAAYGCUGUGCAGCCAUGUCCAUGUAGCUAUCCUGCUUCGCCUCCUUUGCUCAUGACCUGCAACGCCCUGAACACUCUAGUCCUGGAUCUUGGUGGAAAAGGAGUUGCAAGCUGUGCCAAACUGUGUGAUGCUUUUGUGCUCUGAAUACAUGUCCUCCAGGGGCUAGGAUGAAACCACCGCAUUCAUUUGCACUUGAGUAAAAACUACAUUGUUUUUGCAGUCAUUUGGCAUCAUGUUCAAAAAAUAUAAGGUCAAAUUC